rfam:Rattus norvegicus chromosome 3, whole genome shotgun sequence.
GGGGAUUUAGCUCAGUGGUAGAGCACUUGCCUAGCAAGCGCAAGGCCCUGGAUUCGAUCCCCAGCUCCG